rnacentral:rRNA from 1 species
GACAUAGGUGGCGAACGUUAUCCGGAAUUACUGGGCGUAAAGCGCGCGUAGGCGGCGCGACGCGACCGGUGUGAAAGCCCCCGGCUCAACUGGGGAGGGUCAUCGGUAACGGUCGUGCUGUGAGUGCAGGAGAGGGAUGUGGAACUCCGGGAGUAGCGGUGAAAUGCGUAGAGACCCGGAGGAACACCAGUGGCGAAGGCGGCAUCCUGGUCUGUGACUGACGCUGAGGCGCGAAAGCUAGGGGAGCAAACGGG